GUAAGAGGUACUGGAAUGUCUUUUUACUAAAAGGUAACGUCUGAGGAUGAGUUGGCGGCUGAUUAGGUUGUUGGUAGUGUAAAGGACUACCAAGCCGAUGAUCAGUACGGGCCGUGGGAGCGGUAGCCCGGAGAAGGGUACUUAGACACUGACCCUAGCCCUACGGGGUGCAGCAGGCGCGAAACCUUUACAAUGUACGCAAGUGCGAUAAGGGUAUUCCCAGUGCUCAUGCAUUGCAUGGGCUUUUGCUAAGUGUAAACAGCUUAGCGAAUAAGUGGUGGGUAAGACGGGUGCCAGCCGCCGCGGUAACACCUGCGCCACGAGUGGCAAUCGUAUUUAUUUGGCCUAAAGCGUUCGUAGCCGGAUUGGCAAGUCUCAGGUGAAAUCGUUGCGCUAAACAAAACGACGUGCUUGAGAUACUAUCAGUCUAGGGACCGGGAGGCGUUAAGGGUAUUUCCAAGGGAGCGGUAAAAUGCUAUAAUCUUGGGAGGACCACCUGUGGCGAAGGCGCUUAACGAGAACGGGUCCGACGGUGAGGAACGAAAGCUAGGGGAGCAAAACGGAUUAGAUACCCGAGUAGUCCUAGCUGUAAACGCUGUGAACUAGAUGUUGCACAUCCUAUGGGGAUGUGCAGUGUCGGAGCGAAGGUAUUAAGUUCACCGCCU
rnacentral:rRNA from 1 species